GGCCUCCCAGUCCCCACCAGGUGCCAACCAUGUGUGAUGACACCCAUUGGUUUGUGGAGAUCUGCUAUGAGUCAUCGAGUUUUCCGUUACGGGCGCAGCCAUCCUGGUUGCGGAUGUGACGAUUUUAGACGAGAGG